CAUAGCGUUAAAACAUCCAAAUGUAUAUUCUGCUCAGUGACCAUCAACAGCCGCGGUAUCCUAACCGUGCUAAGGUAGCAUAAUCAUUUGUCUACUAAUUGUAGAAUGGAAUGAAUGAACAAACUAAUAUUAUAUUAUAUGCAAAUAUUUUUAACCUAAACUUCAAGUCAAAAUUCUUCAUUGCUAAGAAAGACAAAAAGACCCUGAAAACUUUAACAACAAUUAAUUGUUGGGGCAACUAAUGACCACAAUAGCGUCACUGUAUUCACAUAAAUCUGAUUACUCUUUCAGUUACUUCAGGGAUAACAGGCUAAUUGUUAUUAAUAUAAAUUUAAUUACUGUUUGGCACCUCGAUGUUGGCUUAUAUAACUUAUAGUUAAGACCACUAAUACGUUAGUUUGUUCACCUAUUAAAAAUUUAC
rnacentral:rRNA from 1 species